CGGGACGGGUGAGUAACGCGUGGGUAACCUGCCUUAUACAGGGGGAUAACAGUCAGAAAUGGCUGCUAAUACCGCAUAAGCGCACAGAGCUGCAUGGCUCAGUGCGAAAAACUCCGGUGGUAUAAGAUGGACCCGCGUUGGAUUAGCUAGUUGGUGGGGUAACGGCCCACCAAGGCGACGAUCCAUAGCCGGCCUGAGAGGGUGACCGGCCACAUUGGGACUGAGACACGGCCCAA
rnacentral:rRNA from 1 species